UUAAAAAAAGGUAAUGGCAUUCUACCUUAUCAACCGCCUUUAAGAAGGACGAUGAUGCCUGUAAAAAU
rnacentral:ncRNA from 2 species